UACGUAGGGGGGCUAGCGUUGUCCGGAAUCAUUGGGCGUAAAGAGCGCGUAGGCGGCCAGAUAAGUCCGGUGUGAAAGUCAAAGGCUCAACCUUUGAAUGCCGCUGGAAACUGUCUGGCUAGAGUCCGGGAGGGGCGAGUGGAAUUCCUGGUGUAGCGGUGAAAUGCGCAGAUAUCAGGAGGAACACCAAUGGCGAAGGCAGCUCGCUGGAACGGUACUGACGCUGAGGCGCGAAAGCGUGGGGGAGCAAACAGG
rnacentral:rRNA from 1 species